rnacentral:lncRNA from 1 species
UAACCGUUGUCGUGGCACAUCUGGUGAGGUGGAUUGGAAUAAAGAAGUAGGUGUGGUUGAAAUGUUAAAUAGGCAAUAAUAUGGAAAGAAAGAGAGAAAGAAAGAGGGUUAUAUGAUGAUGUCCCUGCUACUACUAUUCUGCAUAUCACCACUCCUCAAAAAUAUUAAUAUAAUCAGAAAUGGAAAAAAUUGAAGAAAGGGAAAGACUUUUGUUGUGAUUGAAAUCGAAAAUUGUAAUAGAAGAUGUUACUGUGUGGAUAUUCCUUAGGGUCUCAC